UCCGGUUUGUCACCGGCAGUCUCAUUAGAGUGCCCUUGCGUAGCAACUAAUGAUAAGGGUUGCGCUCGUUGCGGGACUUAACCCAACAUCUCACGACACGAGCUGACGACAGCCAUGCACCACCUGUGAAGAUCCAGCCGAACUGACUCCGUGUUUCCACGGAUACGAUCCACAUGUCAAGCCCAGGUAAGGUUCUUCGCGUUGCGUCGAAUUAAACCACAUGCUCCGCUGCUUGUGCGGGCCCCCGUCAAUUCCUUUGAGUUUCAGCCUUGCGGCCGUACUCCCCAGGCGGGGCACUUAUCGCAUUCGUUUCGACAGUGACGGCAUCGGACCUCCACUGCCUAGUGCCCAUCGUUUACAGCUAGGACUAC
rnacentral:misc_RNA from 1 species